rfam:Ipomoea nil DNA, scaffold: scaffold0261, cultivar: Tokyo-kokei standard.
GUUAAAAUGGCCAAGUUGGUCUAAGGUGCUAGAUUAAGGUUUUGGUCUGAAAAGGCGUGGGUUCAAAUUCCACUCUCAACA